rnacentral:rRNA from 1 species
UACAGAGGGUGCGAGCGUUGUUCGGAAUUAUUGGGCGUAAAGGGCGCGUAGGCGGUGCGGUAAGUCACCUGUGAAAUCUCCUGGCUCAACUGGGAGCUUGCAGGCGAAACUGCCGUGCUGGAGUGUGGGAGAGGUGAGUGGAAUUCCCGGUGUAGCGGUGAAAUGCGUAGAUAUUGGGAGGAACACCAGUGGCGAAGGCGGCUCACUGGACCGGUUCUGACGCUGAGGCGCGAAAGCGUGGGGAGCAAACAGG